AAAUAUUUUUUUAGAAAAAGAAGUAGACGGGCUAUUUCAGUUUCAAUGAGUUCCUGUGUUCCUGGGUUGUUUAUUACAUGUACAGUAUAAAUAGGCAAGAAUAUCAGAUGUUUGCUAAGAAUUUAGAGAGAAUGAAAAGUAACAAACCUAAAAUAAGCCCCAAACACAUGAUCUAAGGCAGAUAACGCUCUCACUUAUUGAUUCAUUUUCUGCUACCAUAAAAGGCAGAACUGAUUUAUAAAUGAGAGUUAAAUCCAAACUAAGGUAUAGUAGAGAAUUUGCAAAUAGUUCUCCUUUGCAGUUAACUUGAAGUAUACAAAUUUUUUUAAGUAACAUAUAACCAUAUGUAUAUCUAGAUGCUCUGGAAUUAACAAAUGCAUCAACAAUUGCUCACUUCUCUCCUGGAGGCAACAUGUUAGUAUUUAAUAGACAGACUGUAUGAGUUCAUGUUGCCAUUUUUCUCUGUAGCCC
rnacentral:lncRNA from 1 species